GAUGAAGAACGCAGCGAAAUGCGAUACUUGGUGUGAAUUGCAGAAUCCCGUGAACCAUCGAGUCUUUGAACGCAAGUUGCGCCCGAAGCCAGUAGGCCGAGGGCACGCCUGCCUGGGCGUCACACGUCGUUGCCCCCCCAUCUACUCCUUCGGGAUUGCGGGGGGCGGAUGAUGGCCUCCCGUGCGCCUCGUCGCGCGGUUGGCCUAAAUGCCAAGUCCUCGGCGACGCACGCCACGACAAUCGGUGGUUGCGAAACCUCGGUUGCCUGUCGUGUGCGGUCGUCGCGCAUCGAGGGCUCGAAAAAAUUGCCGGGCUUCGGCUCGACUUUCAACGCGACCCCAGGUCAGGCGGGGUUACCCGCUGAAUUUAAGCAUAUCAAUAAGCGGAGGA
rnacentral:misc_RNA from 1 species